rfam:Toxocara canis scaffold527, whole genome shotgun sequence.
GAGGCAGUAGCUCAGUGGUAGAGCCCCGCUUCGCAUGCGGGGAGACCUGGGUUCGAUUCCCGGCUGCUUCC